rnacentral:rRNA from 1 species
UACAGAGGUCUCAAGCGUUGUUCGGAUUCAUUGGGCGUAGAGGGUGCGUAGGCGGCGCGGUAAGUCGGGUGUGAAAUCUCGGAGCUUAACUCCGAAACUGCAUUCGAUACUGCCGUGCUUGAGGACUGGAGAGGAGACUGGAAUUUACGGUGUAGCGGUGAAAUGCGUAGAUAUCGUAAGGAAGACCAGUGGCGAAGGCGGGUCUCUGGACAGUUCCUGACGCUGAGGCACGAAGGUCAGGGGAGCAAACGGG